rnacentral:lncRNA from 1 species
GUGGGUUUGGGGUGUGUCAUCUCCAUUCUUGACCACAGGUUCCUCCUGACCACCUUCCAGAGCACUUAGGCUUAUUCUUUGUACUGGUGCCACACGGAGCCACAGAAAACUCCUAGAGCCAUUUCUAUCUCCUUAUUUGAAUUCUCUCAAAUCUCUAGCACAGGAUAUAUAUGCCUAUACCCUCAGUUUCCCUGUGAAUGGCUUAGACUUCUGGGGGAAAAAAAUAAGGAAAGACCCUUUGUUUCUCCCUUUGAUGCGCCACUGUUUUCUUGAAAUGACAAGCUCAGAACCUUUUUUCUGUAGCCCAAAUUGUAGAAAUAAAUAUUAAAAAUAAAAAUCACUUAAACCUGUGCUUAGAAAAAAAAUCUAAUGUAAGUAUGAAUUCAGGGCACACAAAAAGAUGGAAAAAACUCUCAAGUUCGAGGGCUGCUCCAAAUGAGAAUGGCUACAUGUCAAGUAUGCCUCACAUACCACAUUAGGCCUCCUAGGUGACCUGACUACUGAUGUGACCCUUUCUCCCUCUAUCUCACCAUCUAUAUUCUCUAAUAUGCUCCCAUCUUUGUUGACAGUGUAUGCACAUUGCUUUCUUGUGACCCAGAAGAAACUGACUGGCAGAAUUAUUAGUCAACAACUUUUAUAGACUUCAUCAAACACACACACACACACACACACACACACACAAGCCUUUGCCGCAAACAGUUCACAUCUUGACCAACUACUGCUAUAAGAUCUGGUGUGAAAAAAUGAGCUGAAGAAUCAGAUUAUUACUCUCAAAAAAUUUGAGCUGGGCACAGUGGCACACACCUGUAAUCCCAGCAGCUCAGGAGGCUGAGGCAGGAGGAUCGCAAGUUCAAAGCCAGCCUCAGCAACAGUGAGGUUCUGAGCAACUCAGGGAGACCCUGUCUCUAAAUAAAAUACAAAAUAGGGCUAGGGAUGUGGC